CUGGGACUCCCCUGAUGGAGUAUAAGGCGGCAGCUAGACAUCCUUAUGUGGCUGGCAAAGAUAAAAUUUGGAGUUCUUACAUGCAGCCUGACGAACAGAACUUUCUUUUUCCUUUUUCUGCUAAAUAUGUAAUUUGUUUGUUACAGACCAACCACUAUCGAAGUUUAACUGCUUUUCUAAACCAUCUCACUGAGACCUUAUUAAACAAGGAACAUAAAUUUUGGGGGGGAAAAUUGCCUUUUCUAAUAAAAACAUGGGAAUUAGACUGUCUCAUUUAGCAGGGUUUAGACAUUAUCUUCCUCUCUCUGCAAACUACAUUUGAUCUUUGCCAAAAAGCAGAAGUACACAGUUUAAUAUAAUAAUAUAGGACCUGUUGUGAAGUAACAGUCAAAAAAAAAAAAAAAAAAAAUCAUAACCAGGUCAUAAAUGUUAAAAUGCAAAAGGAAGGAAAUGCCUGUUAUUCAUCUUGCAGGCAGUACUCAGACAUUCAUGAAAUUGAAAGUUAAUGUACCAGGGACUUUCAUUAUCUGACCCAUUCUAUACUAUCCAUUAGAAUCCCAUAGUACUUGAGACAGAGGACCAAUAUGUCACUAAUACAAGACGAAAAAGGUCACAAAAACUAAGCAUCAAUAAGACAUUACUUCUAUAUUAAAUUUCACAACACUCAGCAGAAAACACAUUUGCUGAAACCAGAAUGUUUUAUUAUGUAAUGUAGCUAAACUGAGAAAAAUAUAUGUUUACCAAGGCAAGAGCAUAAUGAUUAGUUGUCGAGUGAAAAAAAUGAAUUUUUUCCCUCCAUUUCCUCAUUAAAGAAAUUUUGUCUGCUUAAAGGAAAAGAAAGGUAUUUCAUGGGGUUAUUUUUGCUUUUUAAGGCUAUUUCCGACAAUAGAAAUAUAUUGCUCCUUUGGCUAUAGCAAAGGUUUCCUUUCACACUACUGAAAACACAAUAUUUAUUAGUAUGUAGUAAAGCCAAAACAAAUUUGCUUUCCAUUUCCUCUAGUGGAAUAUUCCAUUUAUUUAGAACAGCUUUCAGUAAAAACAAUAUCACUACUACUGCAACAUCAUUUUCCUGUAGAAAGAUGAUGUGCUGAUUCCCUUGAGUUUUCUCCAUCCCAUUUCUCCCCUAACGUUGUUGCCCAAGCUGCUCCAUAGACAUUGCUCUUACUACACAGCUGAGAAAAAUGCAUAGCAGGAACUGUGAUGUGCAAAUAAAUUGCUAUGAAGCAACUUAUGAAAAGACUCU
rnacentral:lncRNA from 1 species